GGGCCGUUAGCUCAGCCGGUAGAGCACUCGACUCUUAAUCGAGUGGUCGGGGGUUCGAAUCCCCUACGGCCCG
rnacentral:tRNA from 2 species